UACAGAGGUCUCAAGCGUUGUUCGGAUUCAUUGGGCGUAAAGGGUGCGUAGGCGGCGCGGUAAGUCGGGUGUGAAAUCUCGGAGCUUAACUCCGAAACUGCAUUCGAUACUGCCGUGCUUGAGGACUGGAGAGGAGACUGGAAUUUACGGUGUAGCGGUGAAAUGCGUAGAUAUCGUAAGGAAGACCAGUGGCGAAGGCGGGUCUCUAGACAGUUCCUGACGCUGAGGCACGAAGGUCAGGGGAGCAAAACGGG
rnacentral:rRNA from 1 species